rnacentral:pre_miRNA from 1 species
CAACUACUCCCUCUGUCCCAAAAUUCUUGUCUUAGAUUUCUCUAGAUACGGAUGUAUCAAGUCACAUUUUAGUAUUAGAUACAUCCGUAUCUAGACAAAUUUAAGACAA